CCUACGGGUGGCAGCAGUGAGGAAUAUUGGUCAAUGGACGAGAGUCUGAACCAGCCAAGUAGCGUGAAGGAUGACUGCCCUAUGGGUUGUAAACUUCUUUUAUAUGGGAAUAAAAUGUUCCACGUGUGGGAUUUUGUAUGUACCAUAUGAAUAAGGAUCGCCUAACUCAGUGCCAGCAGCCGCGGUAAUACGGAGGAUCCGAGCGUUAUCCGGAUUUAUUGGGUUUAAAGGGAGCGUAGGUGGAUUGUUAAGUCAGUUGUGAAAGUUUGCGGAUCAACCGUAAAAUUGCAGUUGAAACUGGCAGUCGUGAGUACAGUAGAGGUGGGCGGAAUUCGUGGUGUAGCGGUGAAAUGCUUAGAUAUCACGAAGAACUCCGAUUGCGAAGGCAGCUCACUGGACUGCAACUGACACUGAGGCUCGAAAGUGUGGGUAUCAAACAGGAUUAGAUACCCUGGUAGUC
rnacentral:rRNA from 1 species